UCAGUCAACUUACCUGGUAAAAUAAUGGAUAACAUUUUUUAGGGAGAGGCAUGUGUAGCCAAGUGAUCAUAGGGUCCAAUGAGUAGCACUAGGUGAGUCUAGUGCCUCCCCCAAGAUCAAACUGACAUAAAAAAUCAAAUGAAAUGCAACCUACCAUGAUCAGAAAUCUCAACUAGCAAGCAAGUCUGGCAGGGGGAGAUUUUCUGCACAACACUCUUAUCAUUGCUGUCAACUGGAAUGAAUCCUUACCCAGAUCUUACUGUUGUUUUCAUUUGGCAGACUAAGCACUUCUCAUGAGCAUCUGUAUUUUUCCUAAUUCCCGUUCAAGAUACACCUACCUUGUGUGUUCAUACCGCCUUGUUUUUGAUACAGUUGACAUGCUGAUAUUACACAGAAAGGGGAAAAGACCUUUUCUGUGUAAUGUCAGCAUAUGAAUUAUAAAUUAUUUUCCCAAGCAGGAAGCUAUAUCAAAACCAUCUGUGAAGGCUGAAUGUGCCGACACUAAUCCUUUCUGUGCCAGGGAUGAAGUGGUUUUAUGCAAAGAAAACUCAACUGAAAAAUGAGAUAUCUUAAUGAAACCAUGAAAACUAUGUUCAAGCUGAAGAUAGCCGACAGGAACCCUCUAGUUCUGCCCCCCUGUUGACACAGACACGUAAACUCACCCACCACGCCUUACUGAAGACUGUGCUAUACAACAUUUGGCACAAAAAGACCAGACUGUGACAUCAGCCCCUCCAGCACAAGACUAUCAUCACUGAAUGAUCUUCAGCUGAAGAGGAACCCUCAUCCCUCCCAUCCUCGCACUGACUCAGAGGGCUGACCAGAUGAGCAGCAGGGACCAGACCUCAACACCAGCACCUUCCCACAAUCCCUAGCCCUUUCCUCAAAACCUGCUGCUGACACAAAAGUCCCAUUUGGACAUACAUCUGUUGACUCAACAAUUAUGAAUGGCACUCUGUUGCAGUAAUGACAACACUAGAAGAGCAGCACUAGAACAUCUUGAACUGCCUCCAUGCUUCCUUUGUUUACUCUAUCUCAGGGUAGACACAUUGGUGCUUGAGACAAUGCUUUGACUGUUGUCACCCUGCGAGGGGUGGGAAGGGGGACGAUUCUCAGCACCCUUUGUGUUAUUCCGUUCGCCCAUUUUAUUUAGGUCCAACACCUCCCCUUUUAAGGCUAAGCUGUGAUCUUACCAUAAAUCAUCAGCAGAUAGGACAAUAUUACUGCUAAUCUUGGUAGUGUAACCACCGGUUAACAUUCUUCAGAAGGUUCUCAUUUGUGGCUCACCCCUAGACCACUCUAUAUAUUGGAUAACCCCCCUCCCUAGAGAAAGUGAGCGUCCGGACGUAACGUGGGUUAGUUUAAAACGAUGACGUUAAAAUGUGGCAAACUGAGUACCUGAUUAUUAUUUGUGUGCUCAUUGCGUGACUGUCACAAGGCGUUUGGAAUGUUUGUUGACUGCAUCGACACAAGAGCUCAACUGUCUUAUGUGUCAUCAAGGCUGAUGAUGUUAUGGAGUUAAAUUGUCAAUGCAAUAAGUCAUGUUGACUCUAUCAUGUUACUUGUACUUUCAGAUGACUAAACAAAACAAUUGUCCUCCACUGCUAAUAAUGUCUGUUUGAAUAACCCAGAUACAAGGGAGUAAAAUAAAGCACCACUUAACGUA